AUUGAACGCUGGCGGCAGGCCUAACACAUGCAAGUCGAGCGGAUGAAGGGAGCUUGCUCCUGGAUUCAGCGGCGGACGGGUGAGUAAUGCCUAGGAAUCUGCCUGGUAGUGGGGGAUAACGUCCGGAAACGGGCGCUAAUACCGCAUACGUCCUGAGGGAGAAAGUGGGGGAUCUUCGGACCUCACGCUAUCAGAUGAGCCUAGGUCGGAUUAGCUAGUUGGUGGGGUAAAGGCCUACCAAGGCGACGAUCCGUAACUGGUCUGAGAGGAUGAUCAGUCAAACUGGGAGUCAGAAGCGGCCAGUAUUGCGACGGGAAGGGGGAGUGGAAAAGCGAGGGCAAGGGGCUACAUCGUGAUCGCGACAGGGCGCGUGUGGGAAGAAGGUGUUGGGAUGUGAAAGAACGUGAGGUAGGGAGGGAGGGCGAUAAAUUAAUAUGUGGCUGUUUUGACGUUACAAACAGAAAAAGCACCGGAUAACGCCGUGCCAGCAGCCGCGGUAAUAAGGGAAAGAACACCAGUCAAAAC
rnacentral:rRNA from 1 species